AUAUUCACUACAGCACCUGGCACUCUUCACAUCAUACCAGGCAUUCUUUUAUAAUGCAGUAUGUUGGGAUGAGGUUUUUUGGUUCAGAAACAAUAUUGUAUAGAAAAAUUUAAUUUCUUGAUUGACUUAAUUUACCUUAAGCCUCCUGCUGUUGAAAAUCUUAACUGCAUAUUGUGGGACUGAUGCUUGUGUGACAGUCAAGGUCCUACUUGAGCUAAACCUGAUUGGUUUGGUGUAUUUCUGUUUGUUUCCAGCAUAUCAUGUCUUUGGUCUGGAUGGCUGCAUAGCUGCCUGAGAGGAAGAGCUGGAGGAGGAUGAAAAACACAGAGUACUCAGGGAAGAAGAUAGAACCAUCUCCUCCAGCAACUCAGGUUCACCUUGCAAACCCUGCUGAACAGCGUGGGAUCAUCUGAGCUUUCCAGUGAGACACUAAGGUUUUAAUGGUAUUUUAAUAAAGCAGAAAAUAAAGGCA
rnacentral:lncRNA from 1 species